GACGAACUGUCCUAACGUUGUUCGGAAUCACUGGCUUAAAGGGCGCGUAGGCGGUCGACCAAGUCAGGGGUGAAAUCCUGCAGCUUAACUGUAGAAGUGCCUUUGAUACUGGUCGUCUCGAGGGAGGUAGGGGUGUGCGGAACUUCCAGUGGAGCGGUGAAAUGCGUUGAUAUUGGAAGGAACGCCGGAGGCGAAAGCGGCGCACUGGACCUCUUCUGACGCUGAGGCGCGAAAGCUAGGGGAGCAACGGG
rnacentral:rRNA from 1 species